GGUUAAGCGACUAAGCGUACACGGUGGAUGCCCUGGCAGUCAGAGGCGAUGAAGGACGUGCUAAUCUGCGAAAAGCGUCGGUAAGGUGAUAUGAACCGUUACAGCCGGCGAUGUCCGAAUGGGGAAACCCAGUGCAAUUCGUUGCACUAUCGUUAACUGAAUACAUAGGUUAACGAGGCGAACCGGGGGAACUGAAACAUCUAAGUACCCCGAGGAAAAGAAAUCAACCGAGAUUCCCCCAGUAGCGGCGAGCGAACGGGGAGCAGCCCAGAGUCUGAAUCAGCUUGUGUGUUAGUGGAACGGUCUGGAAAGUCCGACGGUACAGGGUGAUAGUCCCGUACACCAAAAUGCACAGGUUGUGAACUCGAAGAGUAGGGCGGGACACGUGGUAUCCUGUCUGAAUAUGGGGGGACCAUCCUCCAAGGCUAAAUACUCCUGACUGACCGAUAGUGAACCAGUACCGUGAGGGAAAGGCGAAAAGAACCCCGGCGAGGGGAGUGAAAAAGAACCUGAAACCGUGUACGUACAAGCAGUGGGAGCACCUUCGGGUGUGACUGCGUACCUUUUGUAUAAUGGGUCAGCGACUUAUAUUCUGUAGCAAGGUUAACCGUAUAGGGGAGCCGCAGGGAAACCGAGUCUUAACUGGGCGUUAAGUUGCAGGGUAUAGACCCGAAACCCGGUGAUCUAGCCAUGGGCAGGUUGAAGGUUGGGUAACACUAACUGGAGGACCGAACCGACUAAUGUUGAAAAAUUAGCGGAUGACUUGUGGCUGGGGGUGAAAGGCCAAUCAAACCGGGAGAUAGCUGGUUCUCCCCGAAAGCUAUUUAGGUAGCGCCUCGUGAAUUCAUCUUCGGGGGUAGAGCACUGUUUCGGCUAGGGGGUCAUCCCGACUUACCAACCCGAUGCAAACUACGAAUACCGAAGAAUGUUAUCACGGGAGACACACGGCGGGUGCUAACGUCCGUCGUGAAGAGGGAAACAACCCAGACCGCCAGCUAAGGUCCCAAAGUCAUGGUUAAGUGGGAAACGAUGUGGGAAGGCACAGACAGCCAGGAUGUUGGCUUAGAAGCAGCCAUCAUUUAAAGAAAGCGUAAUAGCUCACUGGUCGAGUCGGCCUGCGCGGAAGAUGUAACGGGGCUAAACCAUGCACCGAAGCUGCGGCAGCGACACUAUGUGUUGUUGGGUAGGGGAGCGUUCUGUAAGCCUGCGAAGGUGACCUGUGAGGGUUGCUGGAGGUAUCAGAAGUGCGAAUGCUGACAUAAGUAACGAUAAAGCGGGUGAAAAGCCCGCUCGCCGGAAGACCAAGGGUUCCUGUCCAACGUUAAUCGGGGCAGGGUGAGUCGACCCCUAAGGCGAGGCCGAAAGGCGUAGUCGAUGGGAAACAGGUUAAUAUUCCUGUACUUGGUGUUACUGCGAAGGGGGGACGGAGAAGGCUAUGUUAGCCGGGCGACGGUUGUCCCGGUUUAAGCAUGUAGGCUGGUUGUCCAGGCAAAUCCGGAUAAUCAAGGCUGAGGUGUGAUGACGAGGCACUACGGUGCUGAAGUAACAAAUGCCCUGCUUCCAGGAAAAGCCUCUAAGCAUCAGGUAACAUUAAAUCGUACCCCAAACCGACACAGGUGGUCAGGUAGAGAAUACCAAGGCGCUUGAGAGAACUCGGGUGAAGGAACUAGGCAAAAUGGUGCCGUAACUUCGGGAGAAGGCACGCUGGUGUGUAGGUGAAGUCCCUGCGGAUGGAGCUGAGACCAGUCGAAGAUACCAGCUGGCUGCAACUGUUUAUUAAAAACACAGCACUGUGCAAACACGAAAGUGGACGUAUACGGUGUGACGCCUGCCCGGUGCCGGAAGGUUAAUUGAUGGGGUUAUCCGUAAGGAGAAGCUCUUGAUCGAAGCCCCGGUAAACGGCGGCCGUAACUAUAACGGUCCUAAGGUAGCGAAAUUCCUUGUCGGGUAAGUUCCGACCUGCACGAAUGGCGUAAUGAUGGCCAGGCUGUCUCCACCCGAGACUCAGUGAAAUUGAACUCGCUGUGAAGAUGCAGUGUACCCGCGGCAAGACGGAAAGACCCCGUGAACCUUUACUAUAGCUUGACACUGAACAUUGAGCCUUGAUGUGUAGGAUAGGUGGGAGGCUUUGAAGCGUGGACGCCAGUCUGCGUGGAGCCAACCUUGAAAUACCACCCUUUAAUGUUUGAUGUUCUAACGUUGGCCCCUUACCGGGGUUGCGGACAGUGUCUGGUGGGUAGUUUGACUGGGGCGGUCUCCUCCCAAAGCGUAACGGAGGAGCACGAAGGUUAGCUAAUCCUGGUCGGACAUCAGGAGGUUAGUGCAAUGGCAUAAGCUAGCUUGACUGCGAGCGUGACGGCGCGAGCAGGUGCGAAAGCAGGUCAUAGUGAUCCGGUGGUUCUGAAUGGAAGGGCCAUCGCUCAACGGAUAAAAGGUACUCCGGGGAUAACAGGCUGAUACCGCCCAAGAGUUCAUAUCGACGGCGGUGUUUGGCACCUCGAUGUCGGCUCAUCACAUCCUGGGGCUGAAGUAGGUCCCAAGGGUAUGGCUGUUCGCCAUUUAAAGUGGUACGCGAGCUGGGUUUAGAACGUCGUGAGACAGUUCGGUCCCUAUCUGCCGUGGGCGCUGGAGAAUUGAGGGGGGCUGCUCCUAGUACGAGAGGACCGGAGUGGACGCAUCACUGGUGUUCGGGUUGUCAUGCCAAUGGCACUGCCCGGUAGCUAAAUGCGGAAGAGAUAAGUGCUGAAAGCAUCUAAGCACGAAACUUGCCCCGAGAUGAGUUCUCCCUGAGACUUUAAGUCUCCUGAAGGAACGUUAAAGACGAUGACGUUGAUAGGCCGGGUGUGUAAGCGCAGCGAUGCGUUGAGCUAACCGGUACUAAUGAACCGUGAGGCUUAACCUU
rnacentral:rRNA from 1 species